CGCAGGCGGCCAGGUCAGUCGAAUGUGAAAGCCCCCGGCUCAACUGGGGAAGGUCGUUCGAUACUGCCUGGCUCGAAGAUAGGAGAGGGAAGUGGAAUUUCAGGUGUAGUGGUGAAAUGCGUAGAUAUCUGAAGGAACACCAGUGGCGAAGGCGACUUUCUGGCCUAUUCUUGACGCUGAGGCGCGAAAGCUAGGGGAGCGAACG
rnacentral:rRNA from 1 species